UACAGAGGUCUCAAGCGUUGUUCGGAUUCAUUGGGCGUAAAGGGCGCGUAGGCGGCCACCGCAAGUCGACUGUGAAAUCUCCGGGCUUAACCCGGAAAGGUCAGCCGAUACUGCGGGGCUAGAGUGCAGAAGGGGCAACUGGAAUUCUCGGUGUAGCGGUGAAAUGCGUAGAUAUCGAGAGGAACACCUGCGGCGAAGGCGGGUUGCUGGGCUGACACUGACGCUGAGGCGCGAAAGCUAGGGGGGCAAACGGG
rnacentral:rRNA from 1 species